rnacentral:lncRNA from 1 species
CACGACUUGUUAACUUAAAAGGGUCAAUAUUCUGUCCUAUAGUGAGAGACUAAGUUGAGUGGAGUCAUAUUUAAAAUGAUGGAAGGUCGGAUUGGACCAAAUCAUAUUCGAACGGCAUGAAGCUAUUUAGAUAAAGUCGUAAUCGAGACCCAUGGAUUAUAAAGUCGUAAUCGAUCGAGACCCAUGGAUGAUAUAUCUAUAUACUUUAAGUUAAUUAAUUGUGUAUUUUUAAUGACUCAAGUUUUUUCGAUUAAUGGUAAGCACCAAUGAUCGAACAUGACUAAUUGGCCCUCUUACGCAUUAGUAAUACCUAGUUAUAUUUUCUCAUCCUCAGCAUUCAUUC